rnacentral:rRNA from 1 species
GUUGAACGCUGGCGGCGUGCCUAACACAUGCAAGUCGAGCGAACAGACGAGGAGCUUGCUCCUCGGACGUUAGCGGCGGACGGGUGAGUAACACGUGGGUAACCUACCUAUAAGACUGGGAUAACUUCGGGAAAUCGGAGCGAAUACCGGAUAAUAUAUUGAACCGCAGGGCUCAAUAGUGAAAGACGGCUUGGCGGUCACUUAUAGAUGGAUCCGCGCCGCAUUAGCUAGUUGGUAAGGUAACGGCUUACCAAGGCAACGAUGCGUAGCCGAACUGAGAGGGUGAUCGGCCACACUGGAACUGAGACACGGUCCAGACUCCUACGGGAGGCAGCAGUAGGGAAUCUUCCACAAUGGGCGAAAGCCUGACGGAGCCACGCCGCGUGAGUGAUGAAGGUCUUCGGAUCGUAAACCUCUGUUAUUAGGGAAGAACAAAUGUGUAAGUAACUAUGCACGUCUUGACGGUACCUAAUCAGAAAGCCACGGCUAACUACGUG